rnacentral:rRNA from 1 species
CCCUUAGAUGUUCUGGGCUGCACGCGUGCUACACUGAAGCGUUCAACGAGUAUUCACCUUGCCCGGGAGGGUUGGGUAAUCUUUUGAAAACGCUUCGUGAUGGGGAUAGAUUAUUGCAAUUAUUAAUCUUCAACGAGGAAUUCCUAGUAAGCGCGAGUCAUCAGCUCGUGCUGAUUACGUCCCUGCCCUUUGUACACACCGCCCGUCGCACCUACCGAUUGAAUGGAGAGGUGAAAUCUUCGGACUGUGAUGAUGUCGUCAGAUGUCGUCGUGGGAAGUGGAUUAAAUCCUUCCAUUUAGAGGAAGGUGAAGUCGUAACA